AGAGUUUGAUCCUGGCUCAGGAUGAACGCUGGCGGCGUGCUUAACACAUGCAAGUCGAACGAACCUUCGGGUUAGUGGCGGACGGGUGAGUAACGCGUGAGAAUCUGCCCUCAGGAGGGGGACAACAGCUGGAAACGGCUGCUAAUACCCCAUAUGCCGCGAGGUGAAAUGAAUUUCGCCUGAGGAUGAGCUCGCGUCUGAUUAGCUAGUUGGUGUAGGUAAUGGCUCACCAAGGCAUCGAUCAGUAGCUGGUCUGAGAGGAUGAUCAGCCACACUGGGACUGAGACACGGCCCAGACUCCUACGGGAGGCAGCAGUGGGGAAUUUUCCGCAAUGGGCGAAAGCCUGACGGAGCAACGCCGCGUGAGGGAUGAAGGCCUCUGGGCUGUAAACCUCUUUUAUCAAGGAAGAAGAUCUGACGGUACUUGAUGAAUAAGCCACGGCUAAUUCCGUGCCAGCAGCCGCGGUAAUACGGGAGUGGCAAGCGUUAUCCGGAAUUAUUGGGCGUAAAGCGUCCGCAGGCGGCCCUUCAAGUCUGCUGUUUAAAAAGUGGAGCUUAACUCCAUCAUGGCAGUGGAACUGUUGGGCUAUGAGUGUGGUAGGGCAGAGGGAAUUCCCGGGUGUAGCGGUGAAAUGCGUAGAUAUCGGGAGACACCAGUGGCGAAGGCGCUCAGCUGGGCCAUCACUGACGCUCAUGGACGAAAGCCAGGGGGAGC
rnacentral:rRNA from 1 species